GAGAAGCGAAACUGCGAAGUGGAGCAAAACUCUAAAAAACAAUCUCAGUUCAGAUUGCAGGCUGCAACUCGCCUGCAUGAAGUCGGAAUCGCUAGUAAUCGCGGAUCAGAAUGCCGCGGUGAAUACGUUCCCGGGUCUUGUACACACCGCCCGUCACACCAUGGGAGUCGGAAAUGCCCGAAGUCAGUGACCCAACCGGAAGGAAGGAGCUGCCGAAGGUGGAGCCGGUAACUGGGGUGAAGUCGUAACAAGGUACC
rnacentral:rRNA from 1 species